rnacentral:rRNA from 1 species
AACGCGAAAAACCUUACCUACCUUUGACAUGUACGGAACUCGCCAGAGAUGGCUUGGUGCUCGAAAGAGAACCGUAACACAGGUGCUGCAUGGCUGUCGUCAGCUCGUGUCGUGAGAUGUUGGGUUAAGUCCCGCAACGAGCGCAACCCUUGUCAUUAGUUGCUACAUUUGGUUGGGCACUCUAAUGAGACUGCCGGUGACAAACCGGAGGAAGGUGGGGAUGACGUCGAGUCCUCAUGGCCCUUAUAGGUAGGGCUACACACGUCAUACAA